GCAUGUUGGGGUAGAGGGUGUCACACCCAUCACUUAAGAACUUCAUAGUUAAGCAAGCUUGCCUUGGAGUAGUUUUGGGAUGGGUGACCUUCUGGAAAGUUUUCUGGAAAGCAUGUG
rfam:Glycine soja cultivar W05 scaffold699_23, whole genome shotgun sequence.